UUUAUUGAAUAAAUUAGGAUUAUAGAUUUAUUGAGUAAAUUUUUAUUAGGUAGAUUAUGCUAUAUGAUUGUGAUAAAUUAUUCGUUUGUUUUUAUACCUGUUAGAAAAUUUGUAUUUUAUUUAUAGCUUAAUGGUUAUGAUAUCAUUAAGCUUAUAAUACUUUUUUUGUUAUGUUUGUAGUAAAAGGUUGAAGUUACCUCAAUUUAAUAUCUGUGUUAUAACUUUUUUAAUAGUUAUUUUUGGUUUAGUUUUUAUAUUUUCUUUAUUUAAUGUUUAGGCGUUUAUUAUAAUUAAAUAAGUAAUUUUACUAUAUUUUAUAUAUCUCAUCGUUUGUUUGUCUGUUUAUCAAAAACAUUUCCAUUUUUAAGCUUAGAUGGUAGUGCCUGCCCAAUGCUUUAUGUAAAUGGCCGCAGUAUAUUGACUGUGCGAAGGUAGCAUAAUUAAUUGCCCUAUAAUUGAGGGCUUGUUUGAAUGGUUUGACAAAAUGAAUAUUUGAUAUAAAAUAUUUUUUUGAAUUUAUUGCGUGUGGUGCAGAAACCCAUUAGUUUAAUUAGACGGAAAGACCCCGGGAUCUUUGGUUUUUGUCUGGGGCAGAUUUGUUUAUUUUAUUUGAAAUUUAGACUCUUUGUAAGUAGUUCAUUGGUUUAAGUUACCCCGGGGAUAACAGUGUAAUAAUUUAGGAGAGAUCAUAUCGAAUUUAUUGUUUGCUACCUCGAUUUUGACUUAUUUCGUAUAUAUGGCGCAGUAGUUAUAUAUUUUGGU
rnacentral:rRNA from 1 species